rnacentral:misc_RNA from 1 species
AGCAGCCGCGGUAAUUCCAGCUCCAAUAGCGUAUAUUAAAGUUGUUGCAGUUAAAAAGCUCGUAGUUGAAUUUCGGGAUCAAUUAAUCGGUCGUGCCUCUGGUACGCACUGGUUUUAUUGGUUUCUCCCUUCUGACGAACCAGGAUGUCAUUAAUUUGGUGUCUUGGAGAAUCAGGACUGUUACUUUGAAAAAAUUGGAGUGUUUAAAGCAGGCUAACGCUUGAAUACAUUAGCAUGGAAUAAUGAAAUAGGACGUUUGAUCCUAUUUUGUUGGUUUCUAGGAUCGACGUAAUGAUUAAUAGGGAUAGUUGGGGGCAUUAGUAUUCAAUUGUCAGAGGUGAAAUUCUUGGAUUUAUUGAAGACUAACUACUGCGAAAGCAUUUGCCAAGGAUGUUUUCAUUAAUCAAGAACGAAAGUUAGGGGAUCGAAGACGAUCAGAUACCGUCGUAGUCUUAACCAUAAACUAUGCCGACUAGGGAUCGGAUGAUGUUAAUUUUUUAAUGACUCAUUCGGCGCCUUA